ACCCGAUGCAAACUGCGAAUACCGGAGAAUGUUAUCACGGGAGACACACGGCGGGUGCUAACGUCCGUCGUGAAGAGGGAAACAACCCAGACCGCCAGCUAAGGUCCCAAAGUCAUGGUUAAGUGGGAAACGAUGUGGGAAGGCCCAGACAGCCAGGAUGUUGGCUUAGAAGCAGCCAUCAUUUAAAGAAAGCGUAAUAGCUCACUGGUCGAGUCGGCCUGCGCGGAAGAUGUAACGGGGCUAAACCAUGCACCGAAGCUGCGGCAGCGAUGCUUAUGCGUUGUUGGGUAGGGGAGCGUUCUGUAAGCCUGCGAAGGUGUGCUGUGAGGCAUGCUGGAGGUAUCAGAAGUGCGAAUGCUGACAUAAGUAACGAUAAAGCGGGUGAAAAGCCCGCUCGCCGGAAGACCAAGGGUUCCUGUCCAACGUUAAUCGGGGCAGGGUGAGUCGACCCCUAAGGCGAGGCCGAAAGGCGUAGUCGAUGGGAAACAGGUUAAUAUUCCUGUACUUGGUGUUACUGCGAAGGGGGGACGGAGAAGGCUAUGUUGGCCGGGCGACGGUUGUCCCGGUUUAAGCGUGUAGGCUGGUUUUCCAGGCAAAUCCGGAAAAUCAAGGCUGAGGCGUGAUGACGAGGCACUACGGUGCUGAAGCAACAAAUGCCCUGCUUCCAGGAAAAGCCUCUAAGCAUCAGGUAACAUCAAAUCGUACCCCAAACCGACACAGGUGGUCAGGUAGAGAAUACCAAGGCGCUUGAGAGAACUCGGGUGAAGGAACUAGGCAAAAUGGUGCCGUAACUUCGGGAGAAGGCACGCUGAUAUGUAGGUGAAGUCCCUUGCGGAUGGAGCUGAAAUCAGUCGAAGAUACCAGCUGGCUGCAACUGUUUAUUAAAAACACAGCACUGUGCAAACACGAAAGUGGACGUAUACGGUGUGACGCCUGCCCGGUGCCGGAAGGUUAAUUGAUGGGGUCAGCGCAAGCGAAGCUCUUGAUCGAAGCCCCGGUAAACGGCGGCCGUAACUAUAACGGUCCUAAGGUAGCGAAAUUCCUUGUCGGGUAAGUUCCGACCUGCACGAAUGGCGUAAUGAUGGCCAGGCUGUCUCCACCCGAGACUCAGUGAAAUUGAACUCGCUGUGAAGAUGCAGUGUACCCGCGGCAAGACGGAAAGACCCCGUGAACCUUUACUAUAGCUUGACACUGAACAUUGAGCCUUGAUGUGUAGGAUAGGUGGGAGGCUUUGAAGUGUGGACGCCAGUCUGCAUGGAGCCGGCCUUGAAAUACCACCCUUUAAUGUUUGAUGUUCUAACGUGGACCCGUGAUCCGGGUUGCGGACAGUGUCUGGUGGGUAGUUUGACUGGGGCGGUCUCCUCCUAAAGAGUAACGGAGGAGCACGAAGGUUGGCUAAUCCUGGUCGGACAUCAGGAGGUUAGUGCAAUGGCAUAAGCCAGCUUGACUGCGAGCGUGACGGCGCGAGCAGGUGCGAAAGCAGGUCAUAGUGAUCCGGUGGUUCUGAAUGGAAGGGCCAUCGCUCAACGGAUAAAAGGUACUCCGGGGAUAACAGGCUGAUACCGCCCAAGAGUUCAUAUCGACGGCGGUGUUUGGCACCUCGAUGUCGGCUCAUCACAUCCUGGGGCUGAAGUAGGUCCCAAGGGUAUGGCUGUUCGCCAUUUAAAGUGGUACGCGAGCUGGGUUUAGAACGUCGUGAGACAGUUCGGUCCCUAUCUGCCGUGGGCG
rnacentral:rRNA from 1 species